ensembl:lncRNA
GUGGUCUGUCGGUGGUCUUGUGGUGGGACUGUGAGAUGACAUGAUUUGACUAAAAAUGUAGGAUCUACUGUACAGUCACAGUACAUAUAUGUAUAGUCAUGAACAUGUAUUUUUCUGUUUAUUCUGACAAUGAUCUUAUUGCUAUUAUUAGAAUUUUAUUAGAAUUUUAUUUUCCAUUUAUUUUUUGGCAUCUGCUUUUGGUUUUUGGUUUCCAGAGAUCUGCUAGUUUUUGGUUUCCAGAGAUCUGAAAGUGAACAAAAGGGAACGAAAAAUUGAAAAAAGAAAGAAAGAAAGCGUAAUGGCAUUCAGUUCCUGUCUGUACCUCCCCCUGAAAGACGACGUAGGUUUUAUUCUAAACAGCAUGUUAGUGCAAGGCAUAAAUCAGCAGGAACGGAAAGACGUUUGCAUCUCCGGUGGCUGCCUGCGUUCACUUCUGCAGCAUGAAGCGUGACCUCAAGAAGAAACUCGUACUGUUCUCGUUCAUGUUCUACUUGACUCUUAACGUGGAAUCAACACAUGAAGUUAAUGGCACGUCGGAAGAAAACAUCACUGUUCAAUUCACUUUUCAAGAUUAUGUUAUAAACUCCAAACCUAGUCUGUACAAAAACGGGAAGAAGAUAGUAAGUUGGAAAGAAUCCACCACCCUCAAAGUAAAGUUUGCCCUGAGUCCUGUGGAAAACCGUACUGUCACACUUAACAUCACAAAUCUCACACUGGAAGAUGAAGGGACAUAUCAUGUCGCAGUGCUUCCAGAUGGUGUUAACUCUCUUUUUGAGAGCAAUAAGAUCAAUAUCAAAGUCAAAUUAGUCAAUAAAUCAGCAGGUAUGUGUUCUCUUUAAAGCUCAGUGUUCAACAGAAUCCAUUUAAAACUGUUUCNACUUUGUUGAUGCUAAUCUUUCUAAUCUAAAAAUAAAUACAUAAGAGAGUGCGGGAAUGUGCUCUUU